rnacentral:rRNA from 1 species
UACGGAGGGUGCAAGCGUUGUUCGGAUUUAUUGGGCGUAAAGGGCGUGUAGGCGGUUCGUUAAGUCUGAUGUGAAAGCCCCGGGCUCAACCCGGGAAGUGCAUUGGAAACUGGCGAACUUGAGUACGGGAGAGGGCAGUGGAAUUCCUAGUGUAGGAGUGAAAUCCGUAGAUAUUAGGAGGAACACCGGUGGCGAAGGCGGCUGCCUGGACCAAUACUGACGCUGAGACGCGAAAGCGUGGGGAGCAAACAGG